UUUCGCAAUGCCCGAAAGGGUGACGAAGCGACGCCGCGUGAGUGAGGAAGGCCUUCGGGUUGUAAAGCUCUGUCAGGAGUUAAGAAAUAUAAGUGUGCUAAUACCACAUUUAUUUGACGAAGGCUCCAAAGGAAGCCACGGCUAACUCUGUGCCAGCAGCCGCGGUAAUACAGAGGUGGCAAGCGUUGUUCGGAAUUAUUGGGCGUAAAGAGCACGUAGGUGGGUUUGUAAGUCAGAUGUGAAAGCCUUCUGUUCAACGGAAGAAUUGCAUCUGAAACUGCGAGUCUUGAGUGUAGGAGGGGAGAAUGGAACUUCUGGUGGAGCGGUGAAAUGCGUAGAUAUCAGAAGGAACGCCGGCGGCGAAAGCGAUUCUCUGGCCUAUUACUGACACUCAGUGUGCGAAAGCUAGGGGAGCAAACGGGAUUAGAUACCCCGGUAGUCCUAGCCGUAAACGAUGGGCACUAAGUAGAGGGGUUUUA
rnacentral:rRNA from 1 species